rnacentral:rRNA from 1 species
UACGGGAGGCAGCAGUGGGGAAUAUUGCACAAUGGGCGAAAGCCUGAUGCAGCUAUGCCGCGUGUAUGAAGAAGGCCUUAGGGUUGUAAAGUACUUUCAUCGGGGAGGAAAAACAAAACUAAUAAUUUUAUUUCUUGACGUUACCCGAAAAAGAAGCACCGGCUAACUCCGUGCCAGCAGCCGCGGUAAUACGGAGGGUGCUAGCGUUAAUCAGAAUUACUGGGCGUAAAGAGCACGUAGGUGGUUUUUUAAAGUCAGAUGUGAAAUCCCUGGGCUUAACCUAGGAACUGCAUUUUGAAACUGAAAUACUAGAGUAUCGUAGAGGGAGGUAGAAUUCUAGGUGUAGCGGUGAAAUGCGUAGAUAUCUGGAGGAAUACCUGUGGCGAAAGCGGCCUCCUAAACGAAUACUGACACUGAGGUGCGAAAGCGUGGGGAGCAAACAGGGAUUAGAUAC